rnacentral:lncRNA from 1 species
GGUUUUUUUUAUUAAUUCCUAUUAAUUUCUGCUAUUGUUUAAAGAUUUUACUGACCAAAAUGUAUGAAAAGUGUUCAUUGCCUGGUGGGAGGGGGUGGUCAAGUAGGACACUGCUUUGGGCCUUCAAAUGUUGAGAAAUGGGCAUGACCAUGUCACAAACGCGGGUUUGAGACACACCACUCCAACGGGGUCACUGUUACGACACAGUUUGUGUCGAGUUAGACGCCAGCUCGUCGUCGAGAGCUCCACUGGAAGAUCCCCUUUUUCAGUGUUCUCGCCGACACGUGUCAGGUACACAGCGGCUCGCCCUGCUCAUCCCCACUCAUACGUGCACAUGCCUGCACGCUCCGACCCUGAAGCAGUCGGUGACACAGCACUCGCAUUCUUUUGCACUCUGACAAACACGCGGUGCUCCCCGCGCUCCCUCCUCUCCCUCCCGCCGGCCCGCCUCUCGCUCCAACUCCCUCUCCUCUUCCCCACGUUUGCACACGCGCAAAAAGCUUUGCACGGACACACAGCGCGCAGCAAAAGAUGUCCGAUUCGGAGAGCUCAGCCGCUGCCCCGACCGAGACCCCGGUCCCUGCUGCCUGUCAGGCCAUCAAGGCAGAUCUGGAUAAAUGGGCUGGAAGAGCACCGCGGACGACAGCUGAUUCUUCGCACCGUGAUCUUUAAUGAGGUUUUGCUAAAAGGCUGCGGAAACGGCGGCCAAUGA